CUUUCCCUCAAAGCUGGUAUAGACAAGUUGCCUCUUUUGAUAGACUGCUUUUAAAUCAGUCAAAAGUGUUCAAUUGAUAUGGAAAUUUUGGGAAGGUUCUUAAAGGAAAAGAAAGUAAGAAGAAUGAUUGGAAGCAAUGGAUCACUAAAGGGAUUCAGGAUACAAGUGAGGCUCUGAAGACUCACGCUAACAGGAUGAGAAAUUGGUGGGGAGCAAAGAAAGCACAAUGGAAGAAGAAUUCCAAAGCCAGUAAGGGGGAGCUAUAAUGAUGUGCAAUGUAGUCUGAUAUUGACUAGAAAAGUAAGAAAAAGCUACGCACAAAAGAGACUGGAAAUUUGUAAUUCUCUGUCUUACGCUCUGCCCACGAGAUUUUGUUUCUCUGCGAACAUUAUUAUCAUGUUGGUACAUUUGUUUUAGGU
rnacentral:lncRNA from 1 species